rnacentral:lncRNA from 1 species
GAGUGAUAAUUCAUUGUUUAGUGUUUCUCUAAGUAUUAUUGUGUAAGGGAUCAGUCCGAGGAACGCGGCUCUAAUACCAACUGUAACGGUUCCGGAAAUUCAAAAGGAAAUACAUAUAAUAAUUUGAGUGCGGAAGUGAAAUAAAAAGUUAAGGUUAACAUCCCUUACGCAAUAACUUAAAAGUACUAAACAAACAUCACAGAAUAAGUUCUAUGAAAGAAAUACUAGAAAUGAGAAAAAUAAAGGAAACUAUAAAGCAUCUAGCAUCUACUCGCAAUUUUCUUGUGGAUCGGGCUCGGGAACCAGGUCCUCCUGAUCUGAAAUGGUUAAAUAAGAAAUAAGCUACACUAGCCCAGUAAGGACAUCACACUAUAUCACCGUCACAGAAGCAAAGGUUAGUAGAAAAUCAAAAUAACCAAUGGAGCAGUAGAUUUAAACCAAUAUAUUUAUUUAAAAUAAAACUAUUUACCUUUUUUCUUACCAUUGGGGAU